GAACUGUGUCCAGGCUGACACUAAGACUUUUCUGGGAAUGGUGCUGGGGAAUCUAAUUGCCACAGUUCUGAUCGCAGUCGCUGUUUACUGUGUGUUCGCUCCCGGGAAAACAAAGCUGCACCGAGCCUCAGAUCGCCAGGCCCUGGUCCGGAGUGAUGAGAUUGGUGCUGUUUAUUCCGGAAUUGAACAGUCAGGCCGACAGGAAUACAGUGAUUUGGAAUUCAGGAACAAGAAAUGAAUCCACUCCCACCUGGGUCAGAGAGACAGCUCCAUGACAACUUCCUAUUCAAACCUCACAGCAACUGGAAAAGCUGACUGAGCC